rnacentral:rRNA from 1 species
GACAGAGGGUGCAAACGUUGUUCGGAAUUACUGGGCGUAAAGCGUGCGUAGUCGGUUAUCUAAGUCGGGUGUGAAAUCCCCGGGCUCAACCUGGGAAUUGCAUUCGAUACUGGAUAGCUAGAGUUCGGCAGAGGGAAGCGGAAUUUCGGGUGUAGCGGUGAAAUGCGUAGAUAUCCGAAGGAACAUCAGUGGCGAAAGCGGCUUCCUGGACCAGAACUGACGAUCAGGCACGAAAGCGUGGGGAGCAAACAGG